AGUAACACGUGGGUGAUCUGCCUCGCACUUCGGGAUAAGCCUGGGAAACUGGGUCUAAUACCGGAUAUGACCUGCUGUCGCAUGGCGGUGGGUGGAAAGAUUUAUCGGUGCGAGAUGGGCCCGCGGCCUAUCAGCUUGUUGGUGGGGUAAUGGCCUACCAAGGCGACGACGGGUAGCCGGCCUGAGAGGGCGACCGGCCACACUGGGACUGAGACACGGCCCAGACUCCUACGGGAGGCAGCAGUGGGGAAUAUUGCACAAUGGGCGAAAGCCUGAUGCAGCGACGCCGCGUGAGGGAUGACGGCCUUCGGGUUGUAAACCUCUUUCGACAGGGACGAAGCGCAAGUGACGGUACCUGUAGAAGAAGCACCGGCCAACUACGUGCCAGCAGCCGCGGUAAUACGUAGGGUGCGAGCGUUGUCCGGAAUUACUGGGCGUAAAGAGCUUGUAGGCGGUUUGUCGCGUCGUCUGUGAAAACUCACAGCUCAACUGUGAGCUUGCAGGCGAUACGGGCAGACUUGAGUACUGCAGGGGAGACUGGAAUUCCUGGUGUAGCGGUGAAAUGCGCAGAUAUCAGGAGGAACACCGGUGGCGAAGGCGGGUCUCUGGGCAGUAACUGACGCUGAGAAGCGAAAGCGUGGGUAGCGAACAGGAUUAGAUACCCUGGUAGUCCACGCCGUAAACGGUGGGCGCUAGGUGU
rnacentral:rRNA from 1 species